GAGCGGAGGCAGAUAGCCAGACAGCGACAUGCUGGCACGAACAUACCGCCACAGAGACCCUCAAAUGGCCAAAAAGGAUUUAAUUCACCUACUGCUGUGGCUUCUUUAGUAGCUCUUUGGGAACUCGCCUCAAUCUGUUUGCUCUUGAACACAUUGCUAAUGCUGGAGUUGAAGGCCGCACCGGAGAACAUGGAGGUGACUGGGUACGUCAAAUCCAGGAACUUCUUAAACACGGAUGUCAUUUCCUGCCGGAAAAAAGGACAAAAAAAAAAAAAGAA